UGCUAUUGAAAGUGGAUUUUGGUCAGCAGUUGUUGUGCCCACUGCUACGCUCUGCCCACAGAGAGCUCUUGGAUGAGGUUUGUGUCGAACUGUGCCCACCCCUCAACUACACAUCGCUGCCCGUCUUUACCUUGAGCUGCCUAAAUAAGGAACAUCUUGGGCUCUUUAAAAGGAAUACCAAAGAUUGUUCAGGUUGUUUAGAGCACUGGGCAGAAGAUGUCUUUAAAGCGGAGACUGCUUUCCAUGUUGCUGUGCUGUGCGUACUGUUUGGCAUCACUCUUCUGCCUUCACCCAGACAGAAACAACUGCGUGUCAAAUGGUGGCCGGAAUCUGGUGUCAGUUGUUCAGCAGCUGUACCAGCGUGUGAUGAGGCUCUUACGCACCACUCUGUGACAUCACAACUGCCUCAAACUAGAGGGAAGGUGAAACCACAACGAUCAUCUUAUCACAAGAUCAGCAUUACUAACAUAAAACUGUGGUCAUUUGAGCGUGAGAACUUUAAAAGAUAUUCCCCAAUAUCAUUAAAAGGAUGAGGUGUUCAUUGCGAACAGUGCUGGUGUUUAUUUGUAGAAGCACAGUUCUGUCAGAGAUGGACAAAUCUUGCUUGCAUUACAACAUGUCAUAUGCCAUAUCAAAGCUUAACACGUGAUCUGAAUGAACAGAACGAAUACACAGAGUAAAUAGUCAUUUUUUUGUUGAACAAAGAGACACUCAUAUAACCAGACUUUAGAUAUACAAAGCAUAUAAUAAAUAAUAUAAAUAUGCUCAAAAGGGACUUUGAAAUAAGUAAGUAAGUAUUUGCAGUAUUUAAAAGUGGUUUACAUAUUAGAUAUUGAGUUCAGUGACUGGAGAAUUCAGUUUAACUGUAGCUUUUCACAAAACACAUUUUUUAUUUUUGUAUUUUUUAUGGGGAAGGAGCAAACUGGUAAUUACU